rnacentral:rRNA from 1 species
AUUGAACGCUGGCGGAAUGCUUUACACAUGCAAGUCGAACGGUAGAGGGGGCAACCCCUCGAGAGUGGCGAACGGGUGAGUAAUAUAUCGGAACGUGCCCAGUCGUGGGGGAUAACGUAGCGAAAGUUACGCUAAUACCGCAUACGAUCUAAGGAUGAAAGCGGGGGAUCGCAAGACCUCGCGCGAUUGGAGCGGCCGAUAUCAGGUUAGGUAGUUGGUGGGGUAAAGGCUCACCAAGCCAACGAUGUGUAGCUGAUCUGAGAGGACGACCAGCCACAAUGGAACUGAGACACGUUCCAGAGGCCUACGGGAGGCAGGAGUGGGGAAUGUUGGACAAUGGAGGCAAGUGUGAUACAGCCAUUCCGCGUGCAGAAUGAAGGCCCUCGGGUUGUAAACUGCUUUUGUACGGAACGAAAAGGUCUCUCUUAAUACGGGGGGCUCAUGACGGGGCCGUAAGAAUGAGCACCGGCUAACUACGUGCCAGCCGCCACGGUAA